GGAAAUUUUAUUUCCAAAACAAAAACACACUUUUCUAGAACUGUCACUUUACUGCGUGAGAGCGGGACGACCGUGGUUUGCCAACUAUCGGUUCUCUCAUUCAGUGUGGUGGCGAAAACUAUUUCUUUCUUUAACAGGUAGCAUUGGUUGAUGGGAUGGUUUCCAUGGCAGUGAAACCAAACCAGAUGGACGGUCUGGUGAAUGGGUGCAGAAAAGUUGCAUGAAGGAAUGGCCUAAUGGCCCAACCUAAAAUUUCAAUAAUAUAAGAGUUAAUAAUUUUUAUAAAAUCAUAACGGCCCAACCUAAAAUUUCAAUAAUAGAGUUAAUAAUUUGUAUAAAAUCAUAUUUUACUUAAAUUUUUGCUCAAAUUAUUAAAUUGUAACUUUAAUUAAUGUAACUUUAACUAUGUUUAUGGACGUAUGGACUUUUAAGUUUCAAACAACUUAAUUCAAGAUGAACCCUAUUUCAAGUUUAGUUACAAAUCCCAAACGUUAGAUCAUUUUUCCUUCUUUUUUUUUUUUAGAAUUGAUCGUAAAGUUUUGAAAAGAAGCAUAUUUUUGCGAUUCUUUUUUGUUUCUCAACUUUUGUCCGAAUCGAGAGGGAAUAUGGGGGUGGCUGAAUGCAGCUUCUGGAAUCGUCGUGACCUGGAAGUGAAUCCAGCGGGCGGCGAAUUCCAGGAUGACUUGCAUUUAGCAGUGAGAAAAAGAGCGAGUAAGCGGGAUCGCGAGAAUCUCAUCACAAGUUGAGUUCAACAAGCCGAUCUCCGAUUGGCUGUUGAUAAAGUGAUUGAGAUCCGCCACUCCACAUUGGCUGAAAGCUGAAAAAUGGCGGGAAUUAGGAAAGAAGAGACUUGACAGAUCGAAGAAUCUGGAAGUCAAUUCUUUUCGAGUAGUCAAAGUGAGAGGUUGAGAAUCAGAAGACAAAAAGAUAAAUUCCGUGUAAAAAAAAAAAAAAAAGUUAACUAAUAAUUGAAAAAAAAAGAUUAGAAGAAAAUCAAGUUUUAGAAAAAAAAAAAGGAAGGAAAUAAGGACUGGUUGGGAGUUUGUAACUAAAGGAAAUAAGAUAAGUAUAAACCGAUUGUGAAUGUUUUCUUUGUAAAUCCCAAUUUCUUUUGUGGGAAUAAAAGACCUUAACGGUCCAUCGUCCAAUUUUCUGUUUUACUAUCGUUGUGAAUUUUAUAAUUAUUGAAAAGAUCCUGAGUUUUCAUCCUGCGAAGUAAGGUUUCUCAGGCACCUUAAAAAUAAAAAUUUAAUUGUGAUAAAAUUAUUGCUGUUGUAUUCUUUUUCUUGGUGAUUGUAAUUUUCUUUUCUUUUGUUCCUAUAGGUAAAGGUUUGCAAUUUCCUUUUUCUCUAUUUCAAAAAAAAUUGCUGGCGCCCUCUUCUUACAUAACGUGAGAACGCCCCUGUGGCGAUUUGAUUCGAAUUUUUAAUUUUCUGAUAUCAAGUGAUAUCAAAAUCGUGAGCAACUUAAUUAAUCGACCUUUCGAUUAAUUUGUGCAUUGAACUCACCCCUCGCUGAGCUAGUUGUAGUGGCAGCACUUAAUUUGCUGCCUGUUGCAAUUUUUGCCGAGUUCGCCUCUUCGCCGCUCUUUUUGACAGUUCGGCAAUCGGCAUAAUUUAUUUCUUAUAAUAUAAUAUUUCGCGAGUUUGUUGUGUUUUAGUUUCAUUUCUUUAUUCUUAUAACUAUAAAAGGAAAUAAAUUGCAACAAAUUGGCACCCAAACGUGGGGCUUGAAAACAAAUCGUGGAACAAAUUGGGUUGUGUGUUCGUUUAUGGUGUUUUUCUUCUUUCAGGGAAGUUUUGUGUCGUAUACAUAUAUAUAUAUACUGCCAUUCCAUUGUUUUUAAUUCUUUUCUUUUUCUUCCGAUAUAGCUUCAUAAUUCGAGUGGGUACUCCAUAGGACGGAAUAGAAAAUUCGGUGUGAUAAUUCGAGUGGGCGCUCCGUAGGAGGUAACUGCCAGAAGGAUAUUCACUUGGGAUAAAAGUUGUGUCAGACGGAUUAUUAUUGUAGCAUUGGUUGAUGGGAUGGUUUCCAUGGCAGUGAAACCAAACCAGAUGGACGGUCUGGUGAAUGGGUGCAGAAAAGUUGCAUGAAGGAAUGGCCUAAUGGCCCAACCUAAAAUUUCAAUAAUAUAAGAGUUAAUAAUUUUUAUAAAAUCAUAACGGCCCAACCUAAAAUUUCAAUAAUAGAGUUAAUAAUUUGUAUAAAAUCAUAUUUUACUUAAAUUUUUGCUCAAAUUAUUAAAUUGUAACUUUAAUUAAUGUAACUUUAACUAUGUUUAUGGACGUAUGGACUUUUAAGUUUCAAACAACUUAAUUCAAGAUGAACCCUAUUUCAAGUUUAGUUACAAAUCCCAAACGUUAGAUCAUUUUUCCUUCUUUUUUUUUUUUUAGAAUUGAUCGUAAAGUUUUGAAAAGAAGCAUAUUUUUGCGAUUCUUUUUUGUUUCUCAACUUUUGUCCGAAUCGAGAGGGAAUAUGGGGGUGGCUGAAUGCAGCUUCUGGAAUCGUCGUGACCUGGAAGUGAAUCCAGCGGGCGGCGAAUUCCAGGAUGACUUGCAUUUAGCAGUGAGAAAAAGAGCGAGUAAGCGGGAUCGCGAGAAUCUCAUCACAAGUUGAGUUCAACAAGCCGAUCUCCGAUUGGCUGUUGAUAAAGUGAUUGAGAUCCGCCACUCCACAUUGGCUGAAAGCUGAAAAAUGGCGGGAAUUAGGAAAGAAGAGACUUGACAGAUCGAAGAAUCUGGAAGUCAAUUCUUUUCGAGUAGUCAAAGUGAGAGGUUGAGAAUCAGAAGACAAAAAGAUAAAUUCCGUGUAAAAAAAAAAAAAAAAGUUAACUAAUAAUUGAAAAAAAAAGAUUAGAAGAAAAUCAAGUUUUAGAAAAAAAAAAAGGAAGGAAAUAAGGACUGGUUGGGAGUUUGUAACUAAAGGAAAUAAGAUAAGUAUAAACCGAUUGUGAAUGUUUUCUUUGUAAAUCCCAAUUUCUUUUGUGGGAAUAAAAGACCUUAACGGUCCAUCGUCCAAUUUUCUGUUUUACUAUCGUUGUGAAUUUUAUAAUUAUUGAAAAGAUCCUGAGUUUUCAUCCUGCGAAGUAAGGUUUCUCAGGCACCUUAAAAAUAAAAAUUUAAUUGUGAUAAAAUUA